rnacentral:rRNA from 1 species
ACGCUGGCGGCAGGCCUAACACAUGCAAGUCGAGCGGUAGAGAGAAGCUUGCUUCUCUUGAGAGCGGCGGACGGGUGAGUAAUGCCUAGGAAUCUGCCUGGUAGUGGGGGAUAACGUUCGGAAACGGACGCUAAUACCGCAUACGUCCUACGGGAGAAAGCAGGGGACCUUCGGGCCUUGCGCUAUCAGAUGAGCCUAGGUCGGAUUAGCUAGUUGGUGGGGUAAUGGCUCACCAAGGCGACGAUCCGUAACUGGUCUGAGAGGAUGAUCAGUCACACUGGAACUGAGACACGGUCCAGACUCCUACGGGAGGCAGCAGUGGGGAAUAUUGGACAAUGGGCGAAAGCCUGAUCCAGCCAUGCCGCGUGUGUGAAGAAGGUCUUCGGAUUGUAAAGCACUUUAAGUUGGGAGGAAGGGCAGUUGCCUAAUACGUAACUGUUUUGACGUUACCGGCAGAAUAAGCACCGGCUAACUCUGUGCCAGCAGCCGCGGUAAUACAGAGGGUGCAAGCGUUAAUCGGAAUUACUGGGCGUAAAGCGCGCGUAGGUGGUUUGUUAAGUUGGAUGUGAAAUCCCCGGGCUCAACCUGGGAACUGCAUUCAAAACUGACUGACUAGAGUAUGGUAGAGGGUGGUGGAAUUUCCUGUGUAGCGGUGAAAUGCGUAGAUAUAGGAAGGAACACCAGUGGCGAAGGCGACCACCUGGACUGAUACUGACACUGAGGUGCGAAAGCGUGGGGAGCAAAC